CUUUUAAUAAUAAGAACCAGCCCCAGCCCUCCUAUUUUCUGAAGGUUGUGAGCAGAUGGAGGCUUGUGACCUGGAGUUCAGUGGUAAUCUUUCCAGCCACAAGUGGCCAGCGGCCACAGGCAACAAGUGAAAACAGGUUGUGUACAGGGAACCAUUUCAUUUGCAGGGUGUAAUGCUAUUUACCUGGGAUCCUAUCCAGCAGCUUCAAAGGUGGUGGCAGCCAUUACCCAACUAAUGAGCACCACACCUCCUGGCUCCCUGUCCUCAAGGCGGGAAGAUGCUGUGAUGCAUAUCAGGAGAUGGAGGGAAAAGAAAUGACUUGUCCACCUGAGUGGCAGAAACAGUUGGGAAAAGACAUUAAGGAAGGGAUGGUGCUGUUGGCUCCAGGCAGUGACUCAAGGAGGCAUUCAUGGAGAAAGAAGAAAGGCCUUUCUCAGGAGCAGAAACAGGCUUGGAGCUGUGGACUUCUCAAAGGCACACAACAAGUAAGUGGCAGAAUAUCACCAGAACCCAAAACUUCUAAUUCUAAAUUUCUUAACAACACACAGCACCAUCUCCCCAGUGCAUCACAGCUAAAAACCACCUUACUGGAUUCUCUUACCCUGGAGAAGAAUGCAUACUGACUGAGGACUCUGCUCCAUGCCUGGCAAAAUAUCUGACAUUUGAGGACACAGAGGUCCAAGCCAGAUUGCUACCUGCCCAAAGCAUCUAAUCCCAGGAUACAUGCCUGCAUCAUUUUCUGAUAUUUUAAAGCAGUGGAUUCCUUUCCAUGGGCUGUGAAGAGAGGGUCCUCCAUGGAAUGUGCUGAAGGGGUUCAUACAUCCUUAUGAACCACCAAGCCUUGCGUAUUGAGAGACUGAAAAUACAAAUGGACAAUGGCCAGACCAUAUAUAAAAGUAGAACUUGGACCCAAAACCUGCAGAAGCGUGGCCAGGAAACCAACCCACUUAUCUAUAACUAUCAGCCCGGAAAGCCAGCUUACUAUAAGUCAGACUUGCAGGAAGCCAGAAUUGCUAUCCCUAGUAACAAAAUAGGAAGUUAAAGGAUAACUUCUGUAACAAUUGACCCAAAAUGGCUAGGGUUUGAUUAAUAGCCGACAGCCUUCCUGAUUUUUGUCCCUGCUUCCAAUUUAGGACCAACCAGAGAAAGCGAGAUAUGCACCCUAAUCAAUCACAUAGGAUGCCCCACUUCUCAUUAGCCGCCUCCAGCUUCUCCAGGACAACAGCUUCCAAUCAGGGCACGCUGAAGCCUUCCCUUUUUCCCAUUUGAUAAGUUUUCCACUCCUCUUCCUCCUUUUGAGUCUCUUUCAGAACAAGGAGUUGGUGGUUGACUCCCUUGCUAUAGCAAGCUCAGAAUAAAUAGCUUUUGCUUUUCUCGUU